UACGACGCGGGAGAGCCAGAUUUUUCUGUUCCUUGCUCUCUGCCGGAGUUGGACCUUGCGGAGGAAGAGGAUGGCGGAGGGCAGACUUUCAGGGAGCAACCCGCCGGAGGAGUUGGUGAAGCUUUUUCUAACGCUGUUGGUCGUCUUUGCCGCCGGCGCCGCCGCGACCUGGGUCUUGUGGAUUGGGAGGAAGAAGGGGAGAGGGCUCCCACCGGGACCCAUGGGGUUGCCGCUGCUGGGGAGCCUGCCUUUCCUGCGACCUGAUCUGCACCGCCACUUCAUGGAGCUCGCGGUGCAGUACGGCCCCGUCAUGAGCCUCCGUCUCGGCACCAAGCUCUGCGUGGUCGUGAGCUCCCCCGCCGCCGCGAAGGAGAUGCUCAAGGACCGCGACGUCGUCUUCGCCUUCCGGGACGUGCCCGUGUCGGCGGCGGUGAUCACCAACGGGGGCCUGGAGAUCGGCUGGAACAAUGAUCCCGA
rnacentral:lncRNA from 1 species